GGAUCUGGGGUUCCCAGGGAGGGACGGCGGUGGUGAAGGGUUCUGGGGUUCCCAGGGAGGACGGCGGGUGUUGAAGGGAUCUUGGCUUCUCAUGGAGGGACGGCGGCGGUGAAGGAUCUGGGGUUCUCAGGGAGGGACGGCGGUGGUGGUGAAGGGAUCUGGGGUUCUCAGGGAGGGACGGCGGUGGUGAAGGGAUCUGGGGUUCUCAGGGAGGGACGGCGGUGGUGAAGGGAUCUGGGGUUCCCAGGGAGGGACGGCGGUGGUGAAGGGUUCUCAGGGAGAGACGGCGGUGGUGAAGGGCUUCAGGGAGGGACGGCGGUGGUGAAGGGU